rnacentral:rRNA from 1 species
CCUUAAGAACGCUGGCGGCGUGCCUAACACAUGCAAGUCGCGCGCGAAUGGAGCAAUCCUAGUAGAGCGGCGAACGGGUGCGUAACACGUGGGUAAUCUGCCCGAGAGCCCGGAAUAACCUGCCGAAAGGCAAGCUAAUACCGGAUAAGCUCACGAGGUCCUCGGACCUCGAGAGAAAAGGUGGCCUCUGUACACAAGCUACCGCUUUUGGAUGAGCCCGCGGCCCAUCAGCUUGUUGGCGGGGUAAUGGCCCACCAAGGCUACGACGGGUAGCUGGUCUGAGAGGACGAUCAGCCACACUGGAACUGAGACACGGUCCAGACUCCUACGGGAGGCAGCAGUGGGGAAUUUUGCGCAAUGGGCGAAAGCCUGACGCAGCAACGCCGCGUGUGUGAUGAAGGUCUUCGGAUCGUAAAGCACUUUCGACCGGGACGAAAACCUGUUGGCUAACAUCCAGCAGCUUGACGGUACCGGGAGAAGAAGCACCGGCUAACUCUGUGCCAGCAGCCGCGGUAAUACAGAGGGUGCAAGCGUUGUUCGGAAUUAUUGGGCGUAAAGCGCGUGUAGGCGGCUUUGCGAGUCGGGUGUGAAAGCCCUCAGCUCAACUGAGGAAGGGCGCCCGAAACUGCAUGGCUUGAGUACCGGA